rnacentral:rRNA from 1 species
UACAGAGGUGGCGAGCGUUGUUCGGAUUUACUGGGCGUAAAGCGUGCGUAGGCUGUUCCGUGUGCCGGACGUGAAAUCCCGGGGCUCACCCCCGGAAGUGCGUACGGAACUGCGGAACUAGGGUCCGGGAUGGGAUGUCGGAAUGCAUGGUGUAGCGGUGAAAUGCGUUGAUAUCAUGCAGAACACCGGUGGCGAAGGCGGACAUCUGGAACGGUACCGACGCUGAGGCACGAAAGCGUGGGGAGCAAACAGG